UGAGUAACCUGCCCUUAACUCUGGGAUAAGCCUGGGAAACUGGGUCUAAUACCGGAUAUGACUCCUCAUCGCAUGGUGGGGGGUGGAAAGCUUUAUUGUGGUUUUGGAUGGACUCGCGGCCUAUCAGCUUGUUGGUGAGGUAACGGCUCACCAAGGCUUCGACGGGUAGCCGGCCUGAGAGGGCGACCGGCCACACUGGGACUGAGAUACGGCCCAGACUCCUACGGGAGGCAG
rnacentral:rRNA from 1 species